rnacentral:rRNA from 1 species
UACAGAGGUCUCAAGCGUUGUUCGGAUUCAUUGGGCGUAAAGGGUGCGUAGGCGGCGCGGUAAGUCGGGUGUGAAAUUUUCGAGGCUUAACUUCGAAACUGCAUUCGAUACUGCCGUGCUUGAGGACUGGAGAGGAGACUGGAAUUUACGGUGUAGCGGUGAAAAUGCGUAGAUAUCGUAAGGAAGACCAGUGGCGAAGGCGGGGUCUCUGGACAGUUCCUUGACGCUGAGGCACGAAGGCCAGGGGGAGCAAAACGGG